AAAGAAUUAGUUAAAUUUAUAACAUUAGAAUGUCAAACUAAAAUUAUUAAUAAAGUAAUAUUCUUUA
rnacentral:tRNA from 1 species